rnacentral:rRNA from 1 species
CGUAGAGGCGAGCGUUGUCCGGAAUCAUUGGGCGUAAAGAGCGCGCAGGCGGCUUGGCAAGUCGGGUGUGAAAUCCCGGGGCUCAACCCCGGGACUGCAUUCGAUACUGUCAGGCUAGAGGUAGUAGGGGAGAUCGGAAUUCCUGGCGUAGCGGUGAAAUGCGCAGAUAUCAGGAGGAACACCGGUGGCGAAGGCGGAUCUCUGGGCCUUACCUGACGCUCAGGCGCGAAAGCUAGGGGAGCGAACAGGAUUAGAUACCCUGGUAGUCCUAGCCGUAAACGUUGGGUGCUAGGUGUGGGCGGAUAUCAACCCCGUCCGUGCCGAAGCUAACGCAUUAAGCACCCCGCCUGGGGAGUACGGCCGCAAGGCUA